rnacentral:rRNA from 1 species
UACGUAGGUGGCAAGCGUUGUCCGGAUUUACUGGGCGUAAAGAGCGCGCAGGCGGCUGGUCAAGUCCGAUGUGAAAUCUCCCGGCUUAACUGGGAAACUGCAUCGGAAACUGAUCGGCUUGAAGGUGGGAGAGGGUAGUGGAAUUCCUGGUGUAGCGGUGAAAUGCAUAGAUAUGACCCGGAACACCGAUUGCGAAGGCAGCCCACUAAGCAACGAUUGACGCUGAGGCACGAAAGCGUGGGGAUCAAACAGGG